CGUAAGCUCUCGAUCGUUCGAUCACCGAAGUUAAGCAUCGUAGAGCCAGGUCAGUACUUAGAUGGGGGACCGCUUGGGAACACCUGGUACUGUA